AUGGUUGCUAAUGUAUCACUGUGGUGGACUUUUGGUGGAGGCUCCAAACUCAUCGUCAACACGGGUGUCGUGGUAAAGCCCUCCGUGUCUCUGCUCCCUCCGUCCCCUCUGCAGCUGUCUGAGGGAUCGGCCUCGCUGCUCUGCCUGCUGUCUGGCUACUCUCCACAGGGGGCGCUGGUGAGCUGGACAGUGGACGGCUCAGAGGUGAAGAACGGGGUUCUGACCAGCGCAGAAGAAGAGAAGAACAGCCGUUACAGCCGCAGCAGCACCCUGACCCUCAGCAAAGACCUCUGGGAAAAGGGGGAGGAGUUCAGCUGUAAGGUCUCCCAUAACAACGUCAAUCAUCCAGUCACGUUCAGAAAGAGUCAGUGUGAAGACUAGUGGAUCCAAGAUAGAGUUUAACAUAGAGCUGCUUAUGAUCAUCUACAAUAGAGUUUCAAUUCUACACAAUGCUGACAUUUCUGUCUUUACUCUCUUCACUGUCCUGUUGCUCUUCCUGUAGUUUUUGCUGAAAUAAAGCUGAGUUUUGGA